rnacentral:rRNA from 1 species
GACGAACGCUGGCGGCGUGCUUAACACAUGCAAGUCGAACGGAAAGGCCUCUUUCGGGGGGUACUCGAGUGGCGAACGGGUGAGUAACACGUGAGUAACCUGCCCUUGACUUUGGGAUAACUUCAGGAAACUGGGGCUAAUACCGGAUAGGAGCUCCUGCCGCAUGGUGGGGGUUGGAAAGUUUCGGCGGUUGGGGAUGGACUCGCGGCUUAUCAGCUUGUUGGUGGGGUAGUGGCUUACCAAGGCUUUGACGGGUAGCCGGCCUGAGAGGGUGACCGGCCACAUUGGGACUGAGAUACGGCCCAGACUCCUACGGGAGGCAGCAGUGGGGAUUAUUGCACAAUGGGUGGAAGCCUGAUGCAGCAACGCCGUGUGCGGGAUGACGGCCUUCGGGUUGUAAACCGCUUUCGCUCAUGACGAAGCUUUGUGUGACGGUAGUGGGUAAAGAAGCACCGGCUAACUACGUG